rnacentral:rRNA from 1 species
CGGACGGGUGAGUAACGCGUGAGAAUUUGCCUUUAGGAGGGGGACAACAACUGGAAACGGUUGCUAAUACCCCAUAUGCUUUCGAGUGAAAUGGAUUUUUCCGCCUAAAGAGAAGCUUGCGGCUGAUUAGCUUGUUGGUGAGGUAAUGGCUCACCAAGGCGACGAUCAGUAUCUGGUUUGAGAGGACGAUCAGACACACUGGAACUGAGACACGGUCCAGACUCCUACGGGAGGCAGCAGUGGGGAAUUUUCCGCAAUGGGCGAAAGCCUGACGGAGCAAUACCGCGUGAGGGAUGACGGCCUAUGGGUUGUAAACCUCUUUUUUCAGGGAGGAAUCAAAUGACGUGUACCUGAAGAAUAAGCAUCGGCUAACUCCGUGCCAGCAGCCGCGGUAAGACGGAGGAUGCAAGUGUUAUCCGGAAUCACUGGGCGUAAAGCGUCUGUAGGUGGUCAAAUAAGUCAACUGUUAAAUCUUGAGGCUUAACCUCAAAAUCGCAGUCGAAACUAUUAGACUAGAGUAUAGUAGGGGUAAAGGGAAUUUCCAGUGGAGCGGUGAAAUGCGUAGAGAUUGGAAAGAACACCGAUGGCGAAGGCACUUUACUGGGCUAUUACUAACACUGAGAGACGAAAGCUAGGGUAGCAAAUGGGAUUAGAUACCCCAGUAGUC